rnacentral:lncRNA from 13 species
AGGUAUAUUCAUUUUUAUUACAAGUCUAUUUAAUAAUUAUGAAUUCAGUAUUACAUUGUCAAUUUUAACCAACUACUUUUGACUUCAGGGAUUCCUCAGAGCUGUAAGACUUGUGACCAUGUUGAGGAAUCCACACACUGGCUUCAGAUUGAACCCUUGACUUCCACUGUCCAGGGAGUUAUAAUGUUCAGGUAAAGAAACUACUUUUAACAUUUCAUUCCACCUGCUAGUGUAUUUCCCCAUUACCUUUGGGAAUAGUAUUCUUAUCCAACCUCUCCAUUUGACCAUUGACCCUCUCUACCAUAUCUUGUUGUUGCUCUCAGACACAGGACACCUAAAGGGAGUUAUGAGUGCACAGUGUCUGGGCUCCGCUGGCUGUGUGAGAGAGAUGUCAUUCUGAAGUAUCACCUCAGGAACUGGGAACCCUACAGUCAACUUCUGAAAGACAUGCAGUACACACAAGGUGGUCCAUUGCUGGACAUCACUAUGGAGUUAGGUGAACUGGAGGAAGUUCAUCUGCCACACUGUGUCUGUUUAGGGACCAACCCUUCCCUGAGGAAUGAGAUGAAGAUUCUUCAUGUAGAGGAACACGGAGUGUCUUUAGAGGAAGUGCAUGAGGUCACCAGAUUCCAUGUUAAGAUUCUCCAUCCCAAGUUCUCACCUAUCUCCCUGAUACUGAGAUUACUGUCUUGGAACGUAGAUGUCCACUGUGAGCUGAUGCUCUAUCUGACAGUGAUAAAGGAAAAACUAAUUCAACGCCUAUACCUGUUCAUGUUCAGUUAUCAUAUUAAAAACUGUUAACAUUUACCUCCACUCUGUGGCAACAUGUCCCCAUGGCAACAUGAGUAGAAUUAUCUGUAAAACUGAAAAUGUUUUCUCCUGACCCAUGGGGGUGUAUGGAUGUGGGUAUGCAGACCCACAUCCACCCACUGAGGCCACUCAUGAUGACUGACAUUUUUUUGUGGCCCCCACCUUAUCAAUGUUCUCCAUCCUUGCGCUGAAUGAUAAGGAGAGGGAACUACCUGAAUUUGUCCAAUAGAAACUCUCGUUGUUGAAACAUUUUGCUCUCCUACCACGUUAAUUAUCCUAACCUGCCACGUUAAUUAUCCUAACCUACCACGUUAAUUAUCCUAACCUACCACAUUAAUUAUCCUAACCUGCCACAUUAGUCAUCCUAACCUGCCACGUUAAUUAUCCUUAAUCUGAGGUAAUGGUUAGGCACAAGGUUAGCAGUGUGGUUAAGGUUAGGUUUAAAACCUGUUUGGGAUAGGGGGCAGCAUGUUUGGAUGAAAAGCGUGCCCAGAGUAAACAUCCUGCUACUCAGGCCCAGAAGCUAAUAUAUGCAUAUCAUUAGUAGAUUUGGAUAGAAAACACUCUGAAGUUUCUAAAACUGGUUGAAUGAUGUCUGUGAGUAUAACAGAACUCAUAUGGCAGGCGAAAACCUGAGAAAAAUCCAACCAGGAAGUUGGAAAUCUGAGGUUUGUAGUUUUUCAACUCAUUGCCUAUCGAAAAUACAUGUUAUAUGUUAUUGUUAUUAUAAAUACAAUAUAAUAUGGUCAUAAUAGUUUGUUGGCCAUAAUAGUUUGUAGNNNNNNNNNNAUGAUAAGGAGAGGGAACUACCUGAAUUUGUCCAAUAGAAACUCUCGUUGUUGAAACAUUUUGCUCUCCUACCACGUUAAUUAUCCUAACCUGCCACGUUAAUUAUCCUAACCUACCACGUUAAUUAUCCUAACCUACCACAUUAAUUAUCCUAACCUGCCACAUUAGUCAUCCUAACCUGCCACGUUAAUUAUCCUUAAUCUGAGGUAAUGGUUAGGCACAAGGUUAGCAGUGUGGUUAAGGUUAGGUUUAAAACCUGUUUGGGAUAGGGGGCAGCAUGUUUGGAUGAAAAGCGUGCCCAGAGUAAACAUCCUGCUACUCAGGCCCAGAAGCUAAUAUAUGCAUAUCAUUAGUAGAUUUGGAUAGAAAACACUCUGAAGUUUCUAAAACUGGUUGAAUGAUGUCUGUGAGUAUAACAGAACUCAUAUGGCAGGCGAAAACCUGAGAAAAAUCCAACCAGGAAGUUGGAAAUCUGAGGUUUGUAGUUUUUCAACUCAUUGCCUAUCGAAAAUACAUGUUAUAUGUUAUUGUUAUUAUAAAUACAAUAUAAUAUGGUCAUAAUAGUUUGUUGGCCAUAAUAGUUUGUAGGCCAUAAUAGUUUGUAGGUCAUAAUAGUUUAUAGGUCAUAAUAGUUUGUAGGUCAUAAUAGUUUGUAGGACAAACCGUUCAGACGCUACAUAAGAUUUUGUGAGAAAAACGAUUUUCGGGAUGUCUCGUGGUCUGACAAACACCGUUGAAGCUCUGCCAUCUUCAACCGCAGAUGCGGAAGGGCAAUAUCGACGGAUUCAUAGACGAAGCUAUGGAUGCAAAGACUGACCAGACAUGAUAUCAACAUUAAAUUACAGUUUUAACCAUAUUUUAAGGCUACGGUGAUUGUUUACAAACAUUGGAGUAAAACAAGCUUCUAUUUUGGGUUCUGAUGCAGUACGACAGUUGAACUGAACUCAUGAGGCAUUUGUAAGUUCUAUUCUUCAAGAAUGGAUCAGUAUUGUCAAGAACCGGCUCAAAGCCCGUAACAAAAGGGAGACGACGUGGAGAUAAGGAGUAACAAAACAUAUAUUUAUUAAAUAAAGUAAACGAAGUACAAGAUACAAUGGUAAUGGUGUAAUCAGUCAUGUAAGUCAGUGUUUUGCAUGAAUGUGAUAAUGCAGGGUGUUGAAAGGUGCCAAAGCAAACAACCCAAAACCACCAAGAUACACAACAAAAUCCAAAAGGUGUCUGCAUGGAGAGAGUCUCCUCCAAGAAUGGGGAAGUGGUGUAUUUGUCCUGGGAGACACUGGACCCAGGUGUUUCCCAUGUAGCUGAUGACCCUCCAAACUCCGCCCACCGGCAUCCUAAUAAGGAAACGAGAACAAAGAGAGAAUACGGCAGACAGAGUGGGAGGGUCGUCACAGUAUACAGUAUAUCAUUAAUUCAUAAGUCCAAAAAUGGAUGUAGCAACUAAGGAUUCUAGCUUUAAAGACCCAAUGCAGGCAUGUCUAUAUCAAUAUCAAAUUAUUAUUUUCUAAUUGAUGUCCCCCCCAAAAUGGGCUGUUGUUAUGGAAUCAGGGGAUCCAACGAAAUCAAAUCAAAUCAAAUUUUAUUUGUCACAUACACAUGGUUAGCAGAUGUUAAUGCGAGUGUAGCGAAAUGCUUGUGCUUCUGGUUCCGACAAUGCAGUAAUAACAAGUAAUAACUAACAAUUCCAAACUACUGUCUUGUACACAGUGUAAGGGGAUAAAGAAUAUGUACAUAAGGAUAUAUGAAUGAGUGAUGGUACAGAGCAGCAUAGGCAAGAUACAGUAGAUGGUAUCGAGUACAGUAUAUACAUAUGAGAUGAGUAUGUAAACAAAGUGGCAUAGUUAAAGUGGCUAGUGAUACAUGUAUUACAUAAGAAUACAGUCGAUGAUAUAGAGUACAGUAUAUACGUAUGCAUAUGAGAUGAAUAAUGUAGGGUAAGUAACAUUAUAUAAGGUAGCAUUGUUUAAAGUGGCUAGUGAUAUAUUUACAUCAUUUCCCAUCAAUUCCCAUUAUUAAAGUGGCUGGAGUUGAGUCAGUGUCAGUGUGUUGGCAGCAGCCACUCAAUGUUAGUGGUGGCUGUUUAACAGUCUGAUGGCCUUGAGAUAGAAGCUGUUUUUCAGUCUNNNNNNNNNNGAAUCAGGGGAUCCAACGAAAUCAAAUCAAAUCAAAUUUUAUUUGUCACAUACACAUGGUUAGCAGAUGUUAAUGCGAGUGUAGCGAAAUGCUUGUGCUUCUGGUUCCGACAAUGCAGUAAUAACAAGUAAUAACUAACAAUUCCAAACUACUGUCUUGUACACAGUGUAAGGGGAUAAAGAAUAUGUACAUAAGGAUAUAUGAAUGAGUGAUGGUACAGAGCAGCAUAGGCAAGAUACAGUAGAUGGUAUCGAGUACAGUAUAUACAUAUGAGAUGAGUAU